rnacentral:snoRNA from 1 species
AAGAUGAACCGGAUAAACAAGCAUAGUUCACCCUGAAACUAGCCAUGUUGACAAGCAUUCAUCCCAAAUGUCUUUCGCUCCUAUCUGAUCCCUCUC